UGUUCCUAGACCAGUUAACCCUACUGUUCCUAGACCAGUUAACCCACUGUUCCUAGACCAGUUAACCCACUGUUCCUAGACCAGUUAACCCCACUGUUCCUAGACCAGUUAACCCUACUGUUCCUAGACCAGUUAACCCACUGUUCCUAGGCCCGUCAUUGAAAAUAAGAAUUUGUUCUUGACUGACUUGCCUGGUUAAAUAAAGGUGAAAUAAAUAUAAACUUGUGUGGCUGCCAGCCAAAUAGCGGAUCGGAUGAAAACGAAGAUAUUUUCUGCCGAAUGUUUUUGCAUUAAAUUUGUGUGAUGAAAAACGAGUUGCCCGGCCCCAUAUAAUAAACAUUAAAGCAAACAAACAAAAAAAUUGUUUAAAAACGCAGCUUUAUUGAUGCUGUUGGUUUUGAAAAAAAAAAUGCUGAUUUCUGCCGUACAAUUGAAUUUCAGUGGCUUAGUUAAAAGAGAGUAGUUUCUCGUUGUCGUCUGGAGUUGGAUGCAUUUAUCCUUUAGUUAUCGAGAUGAGUUCCACUGAUAUCUUCACAUCAGAGUAUGUGAGCAGAGUUGAAGGGGUCGGAAAUCUCGCUUAUCGUUCAGGGAGUGGUGCUCCGGCGAGAAUUAAAAAAUGUUUUUUUAAAUAAAAACCGCCGUUCCAAAUGAGCUCCAUUUAUAAAAAAAAUAUAUAUAUUUUUUUAAAUCACCAUUUAACCAACACCAAUCUAUUUACGUGACAACCUGGACCUACCAUUUGGUUUUGAAAUAUUGAAACCAAACCGUAAGACGUGAAAGUACUUUAAUUAAACAUACCAGCAGCUGAGAAACCCCUCUCUCCGUGCUUGCAGAGCCACUGGGAAUUUCACGGUAAGGUUGUAUUCGGCACAUAUGACAUAUACAAUAUGCUUUGGACACUAAACACCCUGCAGGCCACUCUUGCCAGGCUGGGCAGGGACGUAGUUUAUUUUUCUACGGGUAAGCCUAAAAAGGUUUUUAGGCAAAAUAACUCUAUCAAAAAACAGAAAGCUCAUUGGCCGAUACCACUUUGUAUGCAUUGCUACACGGUUCACGUGGAAAUUUCCACAACUGUUGAAAGUGGCAUUACUGUGACAUGUAGAGAAAUACAGUGUGAUUCAUUAGGUUAGGGGCUCUCUCACUCUCACAGGGAAAUCUCCCUCACCCACCCACCCACCCACCCACACACCUAAGUCUAUGGUCAUGUGUUGUCCUAUGCAAUGAUACAUAUUCAUUGACUGACUUUCGGUUUCAACUUCAAAAACAGCUGAAAAAAAAAAAUACUACAUUUUUGGUUAUAAAAACAAUAUAUAUUUCACAGCGGUUUAGAUGGUACAAUGACUAGCUACACUAUACUUGCUUGUUUUGUCCUAUAAACUUGAAACGAUUAGAAUUAUAGUGCCUUUAAAUUUAAACUUCAAAUGGGAUAGGAACGUCCCAAGGAUAAAGCCCUUUAAAAAAAAAUGUUUUUUUAAAUUUUUUUUUUUUUUUUUACAUCAGCUGAUAUCUCAAAGUGCUGUACAGAAACCCAGCCUAAAACCCCAAACAGCAAGCAAUGCAGAUGUAGAAGCACGGUGGCAAGGAAAAACUCCCUAGAAAAGGCAGGAACCGAGGAAGAAACCUAGAGAGAAACCAGGCGUGUUUUCCACAAGCACAACAGACAAAUAGAAAGAAAAAACUAAAAGCAGGAGUGUAUUUGUGGUGUUGCACCGACCAGACCAUGUGGUACUGCACGUGCUGCUGAGGUCUUUACUGGGGCCUUACACGAGAGAUGAGUGUGUGNNNNNNNNNNAGAAAGCUCAUUGGCCGAUACCACUUUGUAUGCAUUGCUACACGGUUCACGUGGAAAUUUCCACAACUGUUGAAAGUGGCAUUACUGUGACAUGUAGAGAAAUACAGUGUGAUUCAUUAGGUUAGGGGCUCUCUCACUCUCACAGGGAAAUCUCCCUCACCCACCCACCCACCCACCCACACACCUAAGUCUAUGGUCAUGUGUUGUCCUAUGCAAUGAUACAUAUUCAUUGACUGACUUUCGGUUUCAACUUCAAAAACAGCUGAAAAAAAAAAAUACUACAUUUUUGGUUAUAAAAACAAUAUAUAUUUCACAGCGGUUUAGAUGGUACAAUGACUAGCUACACUAUACUUGCUUGUUUUGUCCUAUAAACUUGAAACGAUUAGAAUUAUAGUGCCUUUAAAUUUAAACUUCAAAUGGGAUAGGAACGUCCCAAGGAUAAAGCCCUUUAAAAAAAAAUGUUUUUUUAAAUUUUUUUUUUUUUUUUUACAUCAGCUGAUAUCUCAAAGUGCUGUACAGAAACCCAGCCUAAAACCCCAAACAGCAAGCAAUGCAGAUGUAGAAGCACGGUGGCAAGGAAAAACUCCCUAGAAAAGGCAGGAACCGAGGAAGAAACCUAGAGAGAAACCAGGCGUGUUUUCCACAAGCACAACAGACAAAUAGAAAGAAAAAACUAAAAGCAGGAGUGUAUUUGUGGUGUUGCACCGACCAGACCAUGUGGUACUGCACGUGCUGCUGAGGUCUUUACUGGGGCCUUACACGAGAGAUGAGUGUGUGGGUGAGGGCUACGUUACAGAGUGUGUGUGUGUGUGUGUAUAUAUAUAUAUAGAAGGGAGGAAGUGGACUAGUUAUGUUACAGAGCAGUACAGCUCACCUAGAAAUGUAUUGUAUCGUGUACAGUACAGGACUGAUAUGAAGUCAGUGACUCUUACAGGCUUCUAUAUUACGGAUCCCAGGCUUCUAUAUUACGGAUCCCAGGCUUCUACAUUACGGAUCCCAGGCUUCUAUAUUACGGAUCCCGGGCUUUGUAUUAUGGCUGUAGUGUUUAUUAUGGAUCCCCAAUAGCUGCAGCUACUCCUCCAGGGGUAAAGGCAGAUAUAUACAAUGUUAAAAACCAUUUUAAAACACACCAGAUUUUACAACACAUUAAGUCUCUCAGGCCACUACUCUACAACACAAAAUCCAUUUGUACGUGUGUGUUUAGUGUGUAUGUUAACAUGUGUGUGUGUGUGUCUCUUCACAGUCCCCACUGUUCCAUAAGGUGUAUUUUUCAUCUGCUUUAUAUUAUCUGAUUCUACUGCUUGUAUUAGUUACUUGAUGUGGAAUAGAGUUCCAUGUAGUCAUGUCUCUCUGUAGUACUGUGGAAUAGAGUUCCAUGUAGUCAUGUCUCUCUGUAGUACUGUGGAAUAGAGUUCCAUGUAGUCAUGGCUCUAUGUAGUACUGUGGAAUAGAGUUCCAUGUAGUCAUGGCUCUAUGUAGUACUGUGGAAUAGAGUCCCAUGUAGUCAUGGCUCUCUGUAGUACUGUGGAAUAGAGUUCCAUGUAGUCAUGGCUCUAUGUAGUACUGUGGAAUAGAGUUCCAUGUAGUCAUGGCUCUCUGUAGUACUGUGGAAUAGAGUUCCAUGUAGUCAUGGCUCUAUGUAGUACUGUGGAAUAGAGUUCCAUGUAGUCAUGGCUCUAUGUAGUACUGUGGAAUAGAGUUCCAUGUAGUCAUGGCUCUAUGUAGUACUGUGCACCUCCCAUAGUCUGUUCUGGACUUGGGGACUGUGAAGAGACCUCUUGUGAUACGUCUUGUUGGGUAUGCAUGGGUGUCUGAGCUGUGUGCCAGUAGCCUGAAAAACAGACACCUCGGUGCAUUCAGCAGGUCAAUCAAUACCUCUCACAGAUACAUAGUAGGGAUGAAGUCAAAUUUCUCCUCUACUUUUGAGCUCCUCGCUGUUGUACAUUGACGGGCCAGUCGUCCCGCCCGUGAAUUUUCCCAAGUCCCUCUUUGCGUCACCUGACGACAUGACAGGACAGCAGUUCAAGUGUUGGCCUGGGCGGUAUCAAACCCUACUGGUCUGGUCUUCUGUAAUCUGAAGGUUAGCAAUGCUAACAAUUAUAUGUAAAAAUCCCAUAGAGAAUGCUAACGAGAGCAUAGAGAAUAUAUUAUACGGUCUCCAAAACUAUUUUUCAGGACAGACAAGGUCAUAAAGUUAAACAAGUAACUAAAAAAAUACUACUCAGUUAGACAGCAAGGCUCUUGAUCCAGGAGGGGAUUCUCUGCUGUUUGUAUUUAUCAUGGAUCCCCAUUAGUUCCUGUCAAGGCAGCAGCUACUCUUCNNNNNNNNNNAUGUAGUACUGUGGAAUAGAGUUCCAUGUAGUCAUGGCUCUAUGUAGUACUGUGGAAUAGAGUUCCAUGUAGUCAUGGCUCUAUGUAGUACUGUGCACCUCCCAUAGUCUGUUCUGGACUUGGGGACUGUGAAGAGACCUCUUGUGAUACGUCUUGUUGGGUAUGCAUGGGUGUCUGAGCUGUGUGCCAGUAGCCUGAAAAACAGACACCUCGGUGCAUUCAGCAGGUCAAUCAAUACCUCUCACAGAUACAUAGUAGGGAUGAAGUCAAAUUUCUCCUCUACUUUUGAGCUCCUCGCUGUUG
rnacentral:lncRNA from 13 species